GACGAACGCUGGCGGCGUGCUUAACACAUGCAAGUCGAGCGGUAAGGCCCUUUCGGGGGUACACGAGCGGCGAACGGGUGAGUAACACGUGGGUGACCUGCCUCUAGCUCUGGGAUAAGCCUGGGAAGCUGGGUCUAAUACCGGAUAUGACCUCGCGGUGCAUGUUGCGGGGUGGAAAGCCUUGUGCGGCUAGGGAUGGGCCCGCGGCCUAUCAGCUUGUUGGUGGGGGAUGGCCUACCAAGGCGACGACGGGUAGCCGGCCUGAGAGGGCGACCGGCCACACUGGGACUGAGACACGGCCCAGACUCCUACGGGAGGCAGCAGUGGGGAAUCUUGCGCAAUGGGACGAAAGCCUGACGCAGCGACGCCGCGUGAGGGAUGACGGCCUGG
rnacentral:rRNA from 1 species